rnacentral:rRNA from 1 species
AUACGGAGGGUCCAAGCGUUAUCCGGAUUCAUUGGGUUUAAAGGGUCCGCAGGCGGGAAAAUAAGUCAGUGGAGAAAGCCUACAGCUCAACUGUAGAACUGCCAUUGAAACUGUUUUUCUUGAGUAUAGAUGAAGUGGGCGGAAUAUAUCAUGUAGCGGUGAAAUGCAUAGAUAUGAUAUAGAACACCGAUUGCGAAGGCAGCUCACUAAACUAUUACUGACGCUCAGGGACGAAAGCGUGGGGAGCGAACAGGAUUAGAUACCCCAGUAGUCC